rnacentral:rRNA from 1 species
UACGAAGGGGGCUAGCGUUGCUCGGAAUCACUGGGCGUAAAGCGCACGUAGGCGGCUUUUAAGUCAGGGGUGAAAUCCUGGAGCUCAACUCCAGAACUGCCUUUGAUACUGAGAGCUUGAGUCCGGGAGAGGUGAGUGGAACUGCGAGUGUAGAGGUGAAAUUCGUAGAUAUUCGCAAGAACACCAGUGGCGAAGGCGGCUCACUGGCCCGGUACUGACGCUGAGAUGCGAAAGCGUGGGAG